AUAUAGUUAAUAUAUAUGCAAGUGUAAAUUAGAACGAUGCAAAGAAAAUUAUUAUGACACAUGCGCAAGGAUGACAUUACAAAUAGAGAAAUGGGUAUUGAACUU